GGGAGAGUGCCGGUGUGGCGCGGAGCUCUGAGGCGGAGGGCGCACGGGUAUGGCGGGCUGAAUGUGAGCCCUAGGUCGGUUGAUGAGGGGCGUUCUGGAUGAGGGCAGGGCCCGCCCAGCGUCGGCAGAAGCCACCGCCCACUCGGGGCUGUCAGUCUCUAUGAUAAAUGGGCCCGUGUCACAUCAAUCUGAUGCUCAGCGGCUGUAAUUGGAUUAUUUACACCGCGCAGCGAGGCGCAUGGAGCCCGGUGACUCCAGCCCCCUUCCGACACCCGGCAUCUGCUCCCAGGGUACGGACUCUGACCCGGGGUCAAUAAUACCCCGCACCGGGGUAGUUAUCCCCAGCUAACCAGCCAGCUCGCAUCAUAUCUAAUAGGGAGGAGAUAAGGCUGAGGUGAACGGGAAGAAGAUCCAUCCUGUUUUCUUUAAUGAUUGUUGAUCGAUAUAAAAAAAUUAAAUACAUUUAUUUGUGAUGCAUAUUUUCUGGGAAAGAAUAUAAGGGAAUUAGGCAAAGAUCAUUUGGAGGUAAGAGAGUAACUGUUUACAUUUAAACAUGACGUUAUGGAGUUUGGAUAGGCUUCAAUCUGCUCUAAAUAUCUCCAGUUCUCCAGAGAAACCACAACACCAUCCACCUCAGCAGCCCUCAGUCACCUCAAAGACUCCCUAAAACCUCUGUAAAAGCACUCCUCACGCAGACAAACGGACGGCCUGCGACGACUCAUACGGACGGACAGUGAUCUACCUUCAUCCAGUUCACAGAGCCGGGGUUACCGUGGAUACGGAGACAAGACACGCUGUGUAAAAAGCAGUCCUGUCUCGCCGACGCUGAAAGACUUGGCAACGCC
ensembl:lncRNA